CAGGCAGCCAGUGGGUCCAGGGCGAGGCUUUGCCAUUGCACAUCGGCUUAGCUGACCCUUGCGAUUACCCCAAAUGUGGGUAACUCGGUCGUAUAAUUUCUGGUAGUGGGGACUGCGUUCGCGCUAUCCCCGU
rnacentral:snRNA from 1 species